AAUAAGCCCGCGCGUGGCGCCCGGCCCAGAAAGGUACAAUAACUGUAUAUUUUAACUUAAUGGUUUUUUGGGGGGCAUGCAAAUUUCUGUGAGCAGAUUGUGUUGAGGCCUGGGCUUGGAGCGGCCUCCCUGAGCCCCAGAAGCCCCCCGGAGCACCCCCGGCUCAGUGAAGGUUGCCCGUGUCAAAAUCGAGAUAUCAAACACCGAGGCUGAAAGACAAGUUGAAGAACCUGCCAGAAGCGCUCCGUGGCAGAGAUUAAAACAAUUUCAGAAGCAGGCACCCAGCGCUUCUCUUUGGAUGACUCCACCUCCUAAAGGGUUCAUCCACCUAUCAAUAGCGCCACCAGCUGGGGAACAGAUGAACAACACCGGAACUCUGGGAAUCCAGUUCAAAUCUGACUGUAUUGCCCGAGAGAAGAGUGUCAGGGAGGCAGGACUCAGAGGAAUGCAGCUGCACCAGGUAAAAGUGAUUGGCCUUUCCCUCCCCAGUCCUGUGAUGAGAGGUGCACAUCACCAUGCUGCAUUCAUGGGGUACUAGGCGUCAAACUCAGGGCCUCCUGUAUCCUAGGGCAAGCACUUGACCAACUGAGCCCCACCCCAGCCCUACGGAUUGGUUUUCAGAUAUGGAACCCACACUUGUACUCCUACAACAGAUCUCAUUUGCCGUUCUGAUAUACACUCCUUAUAGUUUGCUAAAUGGGUUCAAUUUGCUAGUGUCUCAUUCAAGGAUUUCUGUACCUGUAUUCAUUCAAUAUACUUACUAAUGUUUUCUUCUUGCUCUGUGUUGGGAAGAAUACUGACCUUGUUUAAUGAAUAUUUUUAGAGAUCUCUGAGCAGAAUCUGUGUUAAUUAUUCUUUAAACUUUGGGAGAAUUAUUAGGAAAGCCUGACUCUGAGCUUUUAUUUGUUAGAAGCCAUUUAAUUGCCCAUUUAACCUAUCAUUAUUAUCAUCGUCAUUUUUAUUGUGGGGAGUGGACUAGGUCCUGAGUGAAUGCGUAUUGUUGGACUAAUGCCUCAGACCCAUGAAAAUGGCAAAGCCUUCCCCUGUCGACGUGUGUGUGCAUGUCUGUGCAGGAAAUGUCAACUGCAGCUUCCCCCUCCCAGAUGUUUAUAGCUCAAGUCUUAUCCUUAGAUAAGUCUUAUCCACUGAGACUCGAUAGCCCUCCUCCUUUCGCUGUACCUAAUGAAUGUCCUGAGUUUCCAGAUUGUGUAGUAGAUGCCCUCCAUCAGAGCAAGUGCAGCCCUCCCAGUUCCAGGUUGCUUCUGUGUACCUGCUUUUUCUUCAUUCUCACCUUUCCCCAAGUCAUGAUUCCAGGACCAAGCCAUGCAGGAUGUUGCUUACUAGCAUCAUCAUCGUCGUCAAUGUCAACGUCAACAUCAAAAUCAAUGUCAUUGUCAGCAGCAGUGUCAUCGUCGUCGUCAUCAUCAUCAUCACCACCAUCAUCUAAGGAUGAGCAAACGUUUUGCCUCCCUGUAUGUCUACGCAACAUGUGCAAGCAAUGCUCAGAGGCCAGAAGAAGGCUCUAAAGUUGGAGUUCUAAGUGGAUGGUUCUAAGCAGCCAGAUGCUGGUGCUGGGAACUAAGAGCAGUACACACUCUCAACCCCUGACCCAUCUCUCUAGUCCCUUUUUAAUGAAGGAGUUCACAGCUCCAAUUUUCCCUCUGAGCAUGCUUUACCACUCAUAAAUGUUGGUGUGUUGUGUUUUGGGAACAUACUUUAUAUGUUUUCUAUACUUCACUCCAUUAAAUCUCAUUUUGUAGUUGAAUAUACUGUUUACCCUCAAGAAUGUUCCGUAUCAACUGGGAAGCAAUGGUCCGUCCACCAUUGCUGUCGCAGGUGGAGUGGAGUGUGAUAUACGGGUGUCUGCUGAGUUGUCUGUCUUUGCUGAUGCCUUCAGGCCUUGGCUUUCUUCCUCUUUCUCAUUGUUCUUUCCGUUAUUGACAAUCCUUCAUUGAAGCUCCAGCUAGGAAGGAAGAAUUCUGUCUUCCAAUUCAAGUUGCUAGCAUUUACUUCCUCUAUUUUGGAGCUCUGUCAUUAGGUGCACAUAUGUUAAUAAUCACAAUGGCCCCUUUAUCAUUUAAUGUAUUUCCUUGUGUUUAAAAAAAUUCCUCUCUCUCUCUCUCUCUCUCUCUCUCUCUCUCUCUCUCUCUGUGUGUGUGUGUGUGUGUGUGAGAGAGAGAGAGAGAGAGAGAGAGAACAUUUGCCAUACUGUGGAUGUGUGCAUGUGCAGUUCAAAGGACCUGGGGAUUGAGUUUGGAUGGCCAGCCUUGGAGGCAGGCAUCUCCCCACUGAGCCAUCUUCAUUUCUGAUAUCAGCACAUGCGUUCUAUCUCCCUUAGACUACUUUUGCACACAGAAUCUUUCUCUACCCUUUUACUUUCACCCUAUUUCUGUCUAUUCAUUUAAGAUGAAUCUCUUAUAUACAGUAUAUAGUCAGGUCAUUUAAAAAGCCCAUUCUCCCAAUCUUCUACCAUUUAAUUGGAUAGUUUAACCCACUUACAUUUAAUGUAAUUAUUAUUAAGGAAUAAUUUACUUUUAUAAUUUUACUCCAUUACUNNNNNNN
ensembl:lincRNA C230014O12Rik RIKEN cDNA C230014O12 gene